rnacentral:rRNA from 1 species
UGGGGAAUAUUGGACAAUGGGCGGAAGCCUGAUCCAGCAAUACCGCGUGUGUGAAGAAGGCCCGAGGGUUGUAAAGCACUUUCAGUAGGGAGGAAAAAGAGCUGGCUAAUACCUGGUUUAUUGACAUUACCUACAGAAGAAGCACCGGCUAACUCCGUGCCAGCAGCCGCGGUAAUACGGAGGGUGCGAGCGUUAAUCGGAAUUACUGGGCGUAAAGCGUGCGUAGGCGGCGCGUUAAGCCAGAUGUGAAAGCCCCGGGCUUAACCUGGGAACGGCAUUUGGGACUGGCGGGCUGGAGUUUGGUAGAGGGAAGUGGAAUUCCGGGUGUAGCGGUGAAAUGCGUAGAUAUCCGGAGGAACACCAGUGGCGAAGGCGACUUCCUGGACCAAAACUGACGCUG